rnacentral:rRNA from 1 species
GAUGAACGCUGGCGGCGUGCUUAACACAUGCAAGUCGAACGGAAAGGCCCAAGCUUGCUUGGGUACUCGAGUGGCGAACGGGUGAGUAACACGUGGGUGAUCUGCCCUGCACUUCGGGAUAAGCCUGGGAAACUGGGUCUAAUACCGGAUAGGACGAUGUUUUGGAUGCCAUUGUGGAAAGUUUUUUCGGUGUGGGAUGAGCUCGCGGCCUAUCAGCUCGUUGGUGGGGUAAUGGCCUACCAAGGCGUCGACGGGUAGCCGGCCUGAGAGGGUGUACGGCCACAUUGGAACUGAGAGACGGGCCAGAGUACGACAGGAGGCAGCAGUGGGGAAUAUCGCACGAUGGGCGGACGCCUGAUGCAGCGACGCCGCGUGGGGGAUGACGGCCUUCGGGUUGUAAACACCUUUCGCUAGGGAAGAAGCGUUUUUGUGACGGUACCUGGAGAAGAAGCACCGGCUAACUACGUG